AGUGGGAUAGCAGGGUCAAAUGGUGAUUCCAUUACAAGUUUUCCAAGGAAUCUCCAUACUGCUUUUCAGAUUAGCUGCACCAAUUUGCUCUCCCACCAGCAAU
rnacentral:pre_miRNA from 1 species